rnacentral:lncRNA from 1 species
GGGGGGAGCUAAGAAAUGGAUGCCCUGUCGAUAGGAUGACUGUCCCUGCCCAUCUGCCCGGGGUCACCCUGGCUCAGCCCUGGUCAGUAGCAGUGCCUGUCACUCUCAGGAGUGUCUCAGUUUAGCUGAUGUGCCCUGUGGCCAUCCUAUCAGUGAGUGCAUGUGCACGCACACGUGCAAACACACACACAUGUGCACACACACAUGUGCGUGCGCACACACGCACAUACAAACACACACAAAUGUGCACACACAAACAUGCACACACAUGUGCGCACACAUGCGUGCAUACAUAUAAACACAAACACACAAAUGUACACACACAUGCAUGCGCACACAGAUACACAAAUGUGCAUGCGCAUACAAUCACGCACACGCACACACAAAUGCACAUGCACACACAUGCGUGUACACACAUGAAUGCACACACAAAUGCAUGUGUGCACACACAUGUCAUGCACACAUUUGUGUGCACAUGCACAUACAAACACACACACAAACACAUAAAUGUGCACACACAACACAAUACAAACAUACACACAUACAAACACACAAACACACACAUACAAACACACAAAUGUAUGUGCGCACAUGCGUGUACACACAUGCGUGCACGCACACAAACACACAAAUGUGCACACACAUACAAACAUACACACAAACGGGCACAGACACAAAUUCACACACACAAAUGCACACACGCACAUACAAACACAUACACACAAACACAAAUGUACAUACACAUGUGCACACACAUGCACACACAAACACACAAAUGUACACACUUCACAUGCAUGUGCACGUGUGUGUGCACACACACGUGUACACACAUACAAACACACACACAAACAGGCACAGACACAAAUUCACACACACAAACGCACACAUGCACAAACGUGCACACACACACACAAACACGCACACGCACAGCCUCCUUUCAUGGCUGUUGAGCUGUUCUCUGAUGCUUGCCGCUCCCGGGGAUGUUUGCUAGAAUUGCUUCUCACUUUCUACAACACUCUGUCCUCUCUCUGCCCUGCUCCUCCCCCCCAUCCCUUCCUGCCCAGCUAGAGGCAUGCGCUGAAAUCCCAGCCCGCCCCCCAAGCCUAGUGCUGCCCCCAC